GGAAUCUUGCGCAAUGGGCGAAAGCCUGACGCAGCGACGCCGCGUGAGGGAUGAAGGCCUUCGGGUUGUAAACCUCUGUCAGGGGGGAAGAACCCGGCGUCGGUCAAUAAACGCCUCCGCUGACGGUACCCCCAGAGGAAGCACACGCUAACUCCGUGCCAGCAGCAGCGGUAAGACGGAGGGUGCGAACGUUGUUCGGAAUCACUGGGCGUAAAGGGCGCGUAGGCGGACUUGUAAGUCAGGAGUGAAAACUCGGGGCUCAACCUCGAGCCUGCUUCUGAAACUGCGAGUCUUGAGGACCGGAGAGGAAAGUGGAAUUCCUAGUGUAGCGGUGGAAUGCGUAGAUAUUAGGAAGAACACCAGUGGCGAAGGCGACUUUCUGGACGGUUCCUGACGCUGAGGCGCGAAAGCUAGGGGAGCAAACA
rnacentral:rRNA from 1 species